ACUCCUACGGGAGGCAGCAGUGGGAAUAUUGCACAAUGGGCGCAAGCCUGAUGCAGCCAUGCCGCGUGUAUGAAGAAGGCCUUCGGGUUGUAAAGUACUUUCAGCAGUGAGGAAGGCGGGUACGUUAAUAGCGUGCUCGUUUGACGUUAGCUGCAGAAGAAGCACCGGCUAACUCCGUGCCAGCAGCCGCGGUAAUACGGAGGGGUUGAGCGUGUUCGGAAUUACUGGGCGUAAAGCGCGCGUAGGCGGAUUAGUCAGUCAGAGGUGAAAUCCCGGGGCUCAACCCGCAGACUGCCUUUGAUACUGCUAGUCUUGAGUUCGAGAGAGGUGAGUGGAAUUCCGAGUGUAGAGGUGAAAUUCGUAGAUAUUCGGAGGAACACCAGUGGCGAAGGCGGCUCACUGGCUCGAUACUGACGCUGAGGUGCGAAAGUGUGGGGAGCAAACAGGAUUAGAUACCCUGGUAGGCUCUGCU
rnacentral:rRNA from 1 species